rfam:Burkholderia calidae type strain LMG 29321 genome assembly, contig: contig000003
CAGGCUCUCAGGUUCUAGCACGGCCCUCGGAAUGGCUAGAACUUUUAAGGCGCUACGGCAACGUAGCGCCUUUUUUU